GGGCAUGAUUAAGUGCAAUAGGAAUGGCAAGCAGAGGGUGAUGAGGCCUGGUCCAUACCAAUGUCAUCCCAGUCCUCAAUGCAAGUGCCACACUAUCAAUGCAAUGGGGGUAGGUAGUAUGAUUCCACCCUCGUCUCCUUACUGCAAGUGCUUCUUAAGUCAAAUAGCAAAAGUAAGAUUGAUAACCAUAUUUGUAGGGGCCCAGUUAAGUUGUGCAACACUGUACAUAAGGCGAUGCCCUCCAGCAAUAGCAGAUAUAAAAAUAUGGGGAUUCUUGCAUGGACGAAGAAAAAUAAGGCUACUUUUUGGCUAUUGGGUCAGCACUGCACAUCAGUUGUACUAGGCAGACCAAAAACCAUUGCAGGGCCACCCCACGAGCACACACCAAACAAUCAAACCACGGCAUGGAUCUACUCUACUGGCUGAGAGCUGCACCCAGACAACAAACGUAUCUUCACCUCAGCACGAAUGCAGAUGCUCCUGAUGCUUCCUACCCCUGUAUAUAUGUGGGUACAUAAUUCCGCAGCAAGAUCACUGGAGGAUUCACAGUUAGCAAUGCUAGCAUCUCUGCUCCCUUACAAGCUGUUUUAUGCAUAGGUUUGAGAGGCCGCGAGCUCGAGGAUUCACGGGGACGCACAAUCUGAUUCCAUGCACCGCACAAUCUGAUUCACGGGGAUGCAAUGAGGGAGGAGAAACAUUGUUGCUCUUGCUUCAGUUAGUUCCUCUUAUAGUCCAAGAUAGUCAGACAUUUCUUCUCGAAAGAAAGAGAUGAUACAGGCCCCUUUCAAUAUGUUCUAUUGUAGGAUUAGGGUGUACCAGAAAUGCUUCUAUUAUAGAUCAAUUUCUGUACAGAUAAACAGUUGCUCCUUUGAGGAUACCAAUGAACGGAGCCAGUGGGGAGCGUGGGGUACCAAGAUGGUGCAACCAGGAAAGUAGGUAUGAGAGGUAGGCUGUAUGAGAAGUAGACAUGCACCGCUGGUUUGCUUGAUCCAAUUUUGUAGAAUUACCAUGUACCUUCCUGUCUAAGGCUCUAAGCCCGAAACUGAACUACUGUGAGUGAAAAUCAACUAAAAUCCACUUCUUUGUUUUACGAAUGGAUGGUUACACUCCAUGUAGCGUAGGUGUAUGGCAUACUCUAUCUGGACUGCUUACACUGAAUAAUUGUACGUGUUCAACCAAUUAAACUUAUUAGUGCAUGCCU
rnacentral:lncRNA from 1 species